AAAAGAAUACUUUGACAUGGCCAAAGUAUUUGACAUUCAUAUGACACGCGGUGGGGCCCAAAUUUUGUGAAUGUACAAAAGGGUGAUAUUGUCAUUUACCCUCUAAAUUAAACGCUGCGUUUUAUUCAGGGUGCUCUCUGUAUUCAGUUUUCCAGUUUGUCUGAUUUCACAUUUUGGAAGAGCUCUUCGUGCUUUGCUAGGGUUGGGGGUGAUAGAGAAGCAGAGAAGUGGAAGAGCGUGCUGUGGUAGGGUUCGGUUGAUAGAGAAGGCGAGAACUCCAUGGGUGCCACUUAAUCGGAGGGUGUACGAGAAGCACAAUUAGCUCACUACAAGUACAUGUUGGUUGUCGGAGAGGAGGAAGCAAAUACUGGACAGGUUUUUGCAAGUGAUAUUGGUUGCCGAAGUGAUGACCUAGUACGUCUAUCAAUAUCAAUUGUUACCAAAAGCCUCCAACAUGUUCUGUUGAUGACAUCCUUAGCAAAUUGAUUUCACCUGUUUACAACGACAAACAUGAAAGCAGUGGAUCAAAUAAAAACAAUUAAAAGUAAAACAAAUUGAGGACUUUCAUAAUUUGUUGAUUUGUAUUUCAAUUUUAUCCUUGUCAUUUUUGAAUAUUGUGCGUGGUUACACGACUUUGUUAUGUAGUACAAUUAGUGAAGUACUAAAGUUAGCUUCAUGAAUGUGUUGUUGC